UACAGAGACUGCAAGCGUUAUUCGGAUUCACUGGGCGUAAAGGGUGCGCAGGCGGCCAAGUGUGUCAGGUGUGAAAUCCCGAGGCUUAACCCCGGAACUGCGCCUGAAACUACUUGGCUAGAGUACUGGAGAGGGUAACGGAAUUCACGGUGUAGCAGUGAAAUGCGUAGAUAUCGUGAGGAACACCAGAGGCGAAGGCGGUUACCUGGACAGUUACUGACGCUCAGGCACGAAAGCGUGGGGAGCAAAAGGG
rnacentral:rRNA from 1 species